GCCUUGUGGCACUCAAAGAGGUGUUCCCUGGCUUGUGAAAAAACCUGUGUGCUGUCAAUUUGAAGAGUGCUGCUCAGGGUGGCAGCUGGCUGAGGCAAUCCAAACCCUCCCAUUUGGAUACUCAGGUAACAGCACCUCAGGGUGGCCACACCCAGCCUACCUUUGGGAAUGGUCCCAAGAAUGUGCUGUUCUCUGCACUAUGCUAACAGAUGCAAAAACUCCAAAACUUUGGCUUUGUUGUGGCUAUAAAUAAAGAAGCUGGUCAGAAUCAUUCCUCCAAGAGGGUUCUUCAGAAAAUGAGGAGGAAGUUCACUCAGUGAAAUGAAAGGGAUGGUUCUAGCUGCUCACUGCACUGCACUGGACCCCUGCAGAUUGUCCACUUGCACCUCUCAGCUUCAGGUAACUUGGUCCAAAUUCCCUUAUGGUAUUGUGCAUCCUUCCUAUUUUGUACAGCUUCCUUUCUUCAUACAAAGAUCUGGAACCUACAGUGGGAAGAUCAGAGAUGGAAAAAAUAAAGUAUCAGCACAGUUACCUAUACAUAGCUUGCUUUAUCAUUUUCUUAUUGCCAUUCCCUUUCUUCUGCUGGCAGACAGGAGCAGUGUCCAGUUCCAUAACUCCACAGAGCGUUUGAACUUGUCUGUGUUCAGCUUCUUGGAAAAAUCUCUUAUGGAAAAAUUGUAUUCUGACCACAGAGUAAUCACUAAGAGAAAAAGGCUGUGCCAAUCUGCAGUCAUUCCCAGCUCAGCACCAAAGGAGCUCUUCCUUGGAAAUCACUGGAAAACAUAAAUGCAGAAUUAAGUUGGCAACUAUGUUCCAUUCCAGUCUUCUAACUUCCAGUUGGCUAUUUGUGACAGGGUCUAGCAGGCUUGGCAUCCAAAUAGAGAGGAGGCUGUAGGAACUAUCCAGAGCAGCUGAGUGGGAAACUAUGUACUUCCUAUCCACUGCA